rnacentral:tRNA from 1 species
GGGGGUUUAGCUCAGCGGCAUAAGCGCCUGCCUUGCAAGCAGGCAGUCGUGAGUUUGAUCCCCGCUACCGAUA